GUUGGAGGACGCGACUGUUGAGGACAUCCAGAAGUAUCUGAAGAAACAGAGGCUUGAGGCCAUCGACUGGUUGGAGGACAACAGGGACAACAUGAAGCAGGGAGUUGAUGACUUUGUGGACAAGGCCCUGGCAGAUCUGGCCAAAGAACCUACUGCUGAGGAAAUAGCUGCUCUGGAGAAGGAUCUGGAGAACUUCGAUGCGGCAGCUUUCAAGGAGAACCAGUCCAAGAGCAAGCAGGUGAUGGAGAAGCUUAAGAGUGUGAUGGACGAACUGGCUGCCAUUUUCCCUGCUCAGGCGGCACCUCAAUAGAAAGUGAUGAAAAUGGAAAAAAGUGUGGCUCCCAAUUCUUGUGGCUAUUUUGAGC